ensembl:lncRNA
CUUGUCUGGAAAAUGCUUGACCUUAACUUGCAAGAAGGAUGGUAUCGCUUUAAUGGUACUGGUGGAGAUCAAAUGGCCUACUACUGCUUAAGUAAACCUGGGUUUAAUUACAGUUCAAUUUCUGUAAAUUUGACCUGGAACUCAUGUGAUCCAGUCAAUGGCAGUGCACAGAAUCUAGACUGUGGUGCAGGACUGAUCCUCUACUACCUCAUUCCAAUUAGAGGAGCUUAUAGGACAAGUCACUCUUCCUGCAAUGCAUCUUCCUGUGGGACGAAUGUUGCAUGUAAUAAUUCUGAUGGUGGAUGUGCGUGUGACUCUGAUAAAUAUCUAAUGCUCCAUGACGAAUACUAUACCUGCAUAGCUAGAUCAAACAAAAUUGGGUACACAUUCAUGGAUCUACAAAAUAUCC